AUGUUUACUUACAUUUUCAGUACUGGGUUUUACCAUGACCCUGUCGCUGGCUGGUACUACAGCAGCACAGAUGGUCAGUACUACAUCUAUGAGAAUGGAGAUUACGUGUUAUGGACUUCAGAUGCGGGCAAGGAACCCAGUGUACAGAGUCCAUGUGAUGAAGCUAGCCAAAGUUUCCUGGAAUCCUCUUCAGGACCGGAACCGGAUAUUCCACAUCAACCGCCAUCAGAAUGGCUGGAGGAAACACUAAUUAACAUGUAUUUAUCAGGAUACUCUAAUAUAGAGGUCAACACUGAAAAUUUACUAGGAGAAUCACAGAUAAGUGAGGAAGGCAAAAGUGAUGCAGUUGAGAACAAACUCAGUAACGUGGCUUCAGAUAAUGCAUCAGACUCUCUGAAUGAUGCUACAUUACAGCAAAUAGAAGAUAAAAUGCAAAUCGAGAGCUUCACAGUUGUGCAUGAAUCUUUAGGGGAAGAAGAAGAGAACUGGCUUUCUCAGUAUGGUCAAGUAGAGAGAGUAAAUGAUGAGCUGCCAUUGUUUCCGAGCGUUGAUCUUUGGGACUGGCAUAUGGUCACAGAACCUGUUAGCAAAGGUCAGCCCAUGACUAGGCUUGUGGGACGUUUAACUAGGGGUUCUAGUAAGCUUCAUCCUUCUCUGCCUGCUCGUGGUGGCCUUCUAAGAACCGCUCCUGUUCGUGAAGUUCAUCUUGAUCUUGUACGUGUUUCAUCAGGGAAGUUGUAG
rnacentral:rRNA from 1 species